GACGAACCGUGCGAACGUUAUUCGGAAUCACUGGGCUUAAAGGGCGCGUAGGCGGGUUCUCAAGUCAGGGGUGAAAUCCCGCGGCUCAACCGUGGAAGUGCCUUUGAUACUGGGGACCUCGAGGGAGGUAGGGGCGUGCGGAAUUUCCGGUGUAGCGGUGAAAUGCGUAGAUAUCGGAAGGAACAUCAGUGGCGAAAGCGGCUUCCUGGACCAGCACCGACGUUCAGGCACGAAAGCGUGGGGAGCAAACAGG
rnacentral:rRNA from 1 species